GAGAAGCUUGCUUCUCUGAUGUUAGCGGCGGACGGGUGAGUAACACGUGGAUAACCUACCUAUAAGACUGGGAUAACUUCGGGAAACCGGAGCUAAUACCGGAUAAUAUUUUGAACCGCAUGGUUCAAAAGUGAAAGACGGUCUUGCUGUCACUUAUAGAUGGAUCCGCGCUGCAUUAGCUAGUUGGUAAGGUAACGGCUUACCAAGGCAACGAUGCAUAGCCGACCUGAGAGGGUGAUCGGCCACACUGGAACUGAGACACGGUCCAGACUCCUACGGGAGGCAGCAGUAGGGAAUCUUCCGCAAUGGGCGAAAGCCUGACGGAGCAACGCCGCGUGAGUGAUGAAGGUCUUCGGAUCGUAAAACUCUGUUAUUAGGGAAGAACAUAUGUGUAAGUAACUGUGCACAUCUUGACGGUACCUAAUCAGAAAGCCACGGCUAACUACGUGCCAGCAGCCGCGGUAAUACGUAGGUGGCAAGCGUUAUCCGGAAUUAUUGGGCGUAAAGCGCGCGUAGGCGGUUUUUUAAGUCUGAUGUGAAAGCCCACGGCUCAACCGUGGAGGGUCAUUGGAAACUGGAAAACUUGAGUGCAGAAGAGGAAAGUGGAAUUCCAUGUGUAGCGGUGAAAUGCGCAGAGAUAUGGAGGAACACCAGUGGCGAAGGCGACUUUCUGGUCUGUAACUGACGCUGAUGUGCGAAAGCGUGGGGAUCAAACAGGAUUAGAUACCCUGGUAGUCCACGCCGUAAACGAUGAGUGCUAAGUGUUAGGGGGUUUCCGCCCCUUAGUGCUGCAGCUAACGCAUUAAGCACUCCGCCUGGGGAGUACGACCGCAAGGUUGAAACUCAAAGGAAUUGACGGGGACCCGCACAAGCGGUGGAGCAUGUGGUUUAAUUCGAAGCAACGCGAAGAACCUUACCAAAUCUUGACAUCCUUUGACAACUCUAGAGAUAGAGCUUUCCCCUUCGGGGGACAAAGUGACAGGUGGUGCAUGGUUGUCGUCAGCUCGUGUCGUGAGAUGUUGGGUUAAGUCCCGCAACGAGCGCAACCCUUAAGCUUAGUUGCCAUCAUUAAGUUGGGCACUCUAAGUUGACUGCCGGUGACAAACCGGAGGAAGGUGGGGAUGACGUCAAAUCAUCAUGCCCCUUAUGAUUUGGGCUACACACGUGCUACAAUGGACAAUACAAAGGGCAGCGAAACCGCGAGGUCAAGCAAAUCCCAUAAAGUUGUUCUCAGUUCGGAUUGUAGUCUGCAACUCGACUACAUGAAGCUGGAAUCGCUAGUAAUCGUAGAUCAGCAUGCUACGGUGAAUACGUUCCCGGGUCUUGUACACACCGCCCGUCACACCACGAGAGUUUGUAACACCCGAAGCCGGUGGAGUAAC
rnacentral:rRNA from 1 species